GUGAAUCAUCGAAUUUUUGAACGCAAAUUGCGCUUCCUGGCAUCCCGGGAAGUAUGCCUGUUUGAGGGUCAGUAUUAAUAAAAAAUCGGGUUGGUGACAAAGUGUGACGUUUCCGGAGUUUGGGCUAUCUUAACUUUUUUGGUUAAGGGACUUAUAAUUGACCUUUGUUGCGCAUUUUUAGACGUACAUAGAUUUUUUUUUUAUUCGUCUAUUCUUAAUGCGAAAAUCUUAUUAGAUGCGAUCACAGCGUGUGUUUUCGUGUC
rnacentral:misc_RNA from 1 species